rnacentral:misc_RNA from 1 species
AACUGAUACUACCUGCGGGAACCUGCGGAAGGAUCAUUACAGGACUCGCAAGACUCCUUACACCCUGUGAACCUUACUGUAUACGCGUUGCUUCGGCGGGUCCGCCCGCCGGCAGCAUACCACAUUCUGUUUCUCUGCGUUGGCAUCUCGAGAAAAAAGCAAAUAAGUUAAAACUUUCAACAAUGGAUCUCU